rnacentral:rRNA from 1 species
UACGGAGGAGGCAAGCGUUAUCCGGAAUUAUUGGGCGUAAAGCGUCCGUAGGUGGCUCUUCAAGUCUGCUGUCAAAGAGUGGGGCUUAACCCUGCGAAGGCAGUGGAAACUGAAAGGCUAGAGAGCCGUAGGGGUAGAGGGAAUUCCCGGUGUAGCGGUGAAGUGCGUAGAGAUCGGGAAGAACAUCGGUGGCGAAAGCGCUCUACUGGACGGUAUCUGACACUGAGGGACGAAAGCUAGGGGAGCGAAUGGG